rnacentral:rRNA from 1 species
AGCGAACGCUGGCGGCAUGCCUAACACAUGCAAGUCGAACGAGACCUUCGGGUCUAGUGGCGCACGGGUGCGUAACGCGUGGGAAUCUGCCCUUGGGUGCGGAAUAACAGUUAGAAAUGACUGCUAAUACCGCAUAAUGACUCCGGUCCAAAGAUUUCUCGCCCAAGGAUGAGCCCGCGUCGGAUUAGCUAGUUGGUGAGGUAAAAGCUCACCAAGGCGACGAUCCGUAGAUGGUCUGAGAGGAUGAUCAGCCACACUGGGACUGAGACACGGCCCAGACUCCUACGGGAGGCAGCAGUGGGGAAUAUUGGACAAUGGGCGGAAGCCUGAUCCAGCAAUGCCGCGUGAGUGAUGAAGGCCUUAGGGUUGUAAAGCUCUUUUACCCGGGAUGAUAAUGACAGUACCGGGAGAAUAAGCCCCGGCUAACUCCGUGCCAGCCGCCGCAGUAAUAC